GGGCGAUUAGCUCAGGUGGUUAGAGCGCCAAACUGAUAAUUUGGAGGUCCAUGGUUCGAGUCCAUGAUCGCCCA
rfam:Candidate division CPR3 bacterium GW2011_GWF2_35_18 TR67_C0003, whole genome shotgun sequence.